rnacentral:rRNA from 1 species
GAGCGGAGAUAUAUGGAGCUUGCUUUAUUAACUUAGCAGCGAACGGGUGAGUAACACGUAGAUAAUCUAUCCUAUACUGGGGGAUAGCCCGAUGAAAGUUGGAUUAAUACCGCAUAUAGCUAUAUAGUUGCAUGAUUAUGUAGUGAAAGAUUUAUUGGUAUAGGAGGAGUCUGCGGCACAUUAGCUAGUAGGUGAGGUAAAGGCUUACCUAGGCGACGAUGUGUAGCCGGUCUGAGAGGAUGAACGGCCACAAUGGAACUGAGACACGGUCCAUACUCCUACGGGAGGCAGCAGUGGGGAAUAUUGCACAAUGGGGGAAACCCUGAUGCAGCAACGCCGCGUGAGUGAAGAAGGUUUUCGGAUUGUAAAGCUCUGUUAGCAGGGAAGAGGAAGGACGGUACCUGCAGAGGAAGCCACGGCUAACUACGUGCCAGCAGCCGCGGUAAUACGUAGGUGGCAAGCGUUGUUCGGAAUAACUGGGCGUAAAGGAUGCGUAGGCGGUUAAACAAGUUAUAUGUUAAAUAUAUAGGCUUAACCUGUAGAAAGCAUAUAAAACUGUUUAACUAGAGUGCAGGAGAGGUAAGUGGAAUUCCUAGUGUAGCGGUGAAAUGCGUAGAGAUUAGGAAGAACACCAGUGGCGAAGGCGACUUACUGGACUGUAACUGACGCUGAGGCAUGAGAGCAUGGGGAGCAAACAGGAUUAGAUACCCUGGUAGUCCAUGCUGUAAACGAUGGGUACUAGGUGUGGGUUGUGAAUAACAAUUCGUGCCGUCGCAAACGCAAUAAGUACCCCGCC